GGGGAAUCUUGCGCAAUGCGCGAAAGCGUGACGCAGCAACGCCGCGUGAGGGAAGAAGGCUCUAGGGUUGUAAACCUCUUUCAGUGGGGACGAAGGUGUUCCGGUGAAUAGCCGUGAAGACUGACGGUACCCACAGAAGAAGCUCCGGCUAACUACGUGCCAGCAGCCGCGGUAAUACGUAGGGAGCGAGCGUUGUCCGGAAUCAUUGGGCGUAAAGCGCGCGUAGGCGGCCCGAUCAGUCUGUUGUGAAAGUCCAAGGCUCAACCUUGGAAGGCCAAUGGAUACUGUCGGGCUAGAAUUCGGAAGAGGCAAGUGGAAUUCCUGGUGUAGCGGUGGAAUGCGCAGAUAUCAGGAGGAACACCAAUAGCGAAGGCAGCUUGCUGGGACGAUAUUGACGCUGAGGUGCGAAAGCGUGGGGAGCGAAC
rnacentral:rRNA from 1 species